rnacentral:tRNA from 1 species
GUUAAAGUGGCAGAAAAAAAUGCGAGGAAUUUAAGCUUCCUCUAUGAAUAUUCCUUUAAUA